rnacentral:rRNA from 1 species
CUACGGGGGGCUCCAGUGGGGAAUAUUGCACAAUGGGGGAAACCCUGAUGCAGCAACGCCGCGUGGAGGAUGACGCAUUUCGGUGUGUAAACUCCUUUUAUAUGUCAAGAAAAUGACGGUAGCAUAUGAAUAAGCACCGGCUAACUCCGUGCCAGCAGCCGCGGUAAUACGGAGGGUGCAAGCGUUACUCGGAAUCACUGGGCGUAAAGGACGCGUAGGCGGGUUGGAAAGUCAGGUGUGAAAUCCUACAGCUUAACUGUAGAACUGCACUUGAAACUUCUAAUCUAGAGUAUGGGAGGGGGAGAUGGAAUUAGUGGUGUAGGGGUAAAAUCCGUAGAUAUCACUAGGAAUACCUAAAGCGAAGGCGAUCUCCUGGAACAUUACUGACGCUAAGGCGUGAAAGCGUGGGGAGCAAACAGGAUUAGAUACCCCCGUAGUC